UAACAAAAAGUGGACACACAAAAAAAAACUCUGUAAUUAUCAAUCCUCCUCCUCCUCCGUCACCACCACAACUUCCGCCGCCGUGGCCGACAAAUUCCCCGGCGGCUGAUCCGCAAAUGUAGUCUCCAUACCACCCUCUACUCUUCUAUCGCGUCAAUCAAAGUGGAUGACGAAGUUAUUGUUUCCGGAUCUGAUGGAUAUCCGUAUUGAUGGGCCGUGACUAUUCAAAAUCAAGGGCCUCAUGUGUAAAAUCAAUGUAACACUUAGUUUCUCGACGAUGUUAGUGAAAAGUGGAAAGACCUGGCAACCUACACUACACUACACAGGAGAGAUUCUGAAGGUGUGUCGUUUUGUGGACACAGUAGGGUGUUGUGUUCUUUUGUCAUUGAAAUUAUGAAGCUUUUUUUUUUUUUUUUUUUGAUAGAAAUGUUAAAUAUGGUUCUUUACCUUCACCUGCUUUCAUGCCUGCUAAUAACAUUUCAUUUUGUUCAAUCACAUUAACAGAAAUUUUUAUAUACUUCCUAUUCUUAUC